rnacentral:rRNA from 1 species
UAACACAUGCAAGUCGAGGGGCGAGCACAAGGAGCAAUCUGAGGUGGCGACCGGCGCACGGGUGAGUAACACGUAUGCAACCUGCCUGUAAGCGGGGAAUAACCCGUUGAAAGACGGACUAAUACCGCACAAUACUAAAUUACUGCAUGGUAAUUUAUUUAAACAUUUAUGGCUUACAGAUGGGCAUGCGCAUGAUUAGCUAGUUGGAGAGGUAACGGCUCCCCAAGGCAACGAUCAUUAGGGGUUCUGAGAGGAAGGUCCCCCCACACUGGUACUGAGACACGGACCAGACUCCUACGGGAGGCAGCAGUGAGGAAUAUUGGUCAAUGGACGAGAGUCUGAACCAGCCAAGUCGCGUGCAGGAAGAAAAUGUCCUAUGGAUUGUAAACUGCUUUUGCAGGGGAAUAAAGUGCAUCACGUGUGAUGUUUUGUAUGUACUCUGCGAAUAAGGAUCGGCUAACUCCGUGCCAGCCGCGGC